UGGAUAGGGGUGAAAGGCUAAACAAACCUGGAAAUAGCUGGUUCUCUCCGAAAACUAUUUAGGUAGUGCCUCGUGUCUCACCUUCGGGGGUAGAGCACUGUCAUGGUUGGGGGGUCUAUUGCAGAUUACCCCGCCAUAGCAAACUCCGAAUACCGAAGAGUGCAAUCACGGGAGACAGACAUCGGGUGCUAACGUCCGGUGUCAAGAGGGAAACAACCCAGACCGCCAGCUAAGGUCCCCAAAUAUGGCUAAGUGGGAAACGAAGUGGGAAGGCUAAAACAGUCAGGAGGUUGGCUUAGAAGCAGCCACCCUUUAAAGAAAGCGUAAUAGCUCACUGAUCGAGUCGUCCUGCGCGGAAGAUGUAACGGGGCUAAGCCAUAUACCGAAGCUGCGGAUGCGAGCUAGUCUCGCAUGGUAGGAGAGCGUUCCGUAAGCCUGCGAAGGUGCCUUGUAAAGGGUGCUGGAGGUAUCGGAAGUGCGAAUGCUGACAUGAGUAGCGAUAAAGGGGGUGAAAGGCCCCCUCGCCGUAAGCCCAAGGUUUCCUACGCAACGUUCAUCGGCGUAGGGUGAGUCGGCCCCUAAGG
rnacentral:rRNA from 1 species